ACAGGGACAGAGCCAACAAAUGGAAGGAGCUUUGUAAACAGACUUUGAAUUUGGAGAUACCUGAAUGCGUUAAAAAGGAAAAGUGUCGCUUUAUGUGGACUUUGGGGAAUUCUUUUAAGUCUAAAGAAGCUUUUUUUCUCCUCUGUGAUGUUUUAGGUUCCAUCUAGGACUUUUGAUUGAAGAAAUGGCUUCAGUUAACUUCACCUCCUUCUGAACCGUCUAUUUUAAACAUGGAAAAAAGUAUUAUUCCAGCUGUGUAAUGAUCGUGGCUCCAGUUAUGUCAUCAUCUUGAAACAAAUCUUGCUGUCUCAUUGGCGGGCUUCCUGACGUGAGCGCUCCCUGCUGGACUACAAGCUGAACUAACAGCUGGAACAUUACUUUUUUGUCCAUGUUUGAACCAAAGUACACAUUUUGAACAAACUGUAACAGCCUUGCUGCGUCUCAGUAUGUGUUUACAUCUACGUCUUUAUCUCUUUUGUGUUUCUGUUUUGAGCAUUGGUGUAUCUGUUCAGCCGCCCCUCCACCUUCACCUGAUCUUUUUCCGACUCUGUGAAAGUUCUCAUGUCGUCCCUUUCAAGCCGCUCAGGUUAACAGUUCAAGGUUGCACUUCAACAGCAGGUGAAGUGAAGUAAAGAUGGGUGGGAAAAAAAAUCAGAGCGCUGGGGUCAUUCUGUGCGUGUCCUACACUUUCUAAAGCACCGACGGCACUGCAGGAUGUGUUUUCACCUGAAUGGGAUCUUCUCAGUCCCCAUUCUCUUCUCCUCCUCUGGCUCGGAACAUACGGAGGGUUUAGCCACAAACACAGCCAUUGUGUCAUGCCAAGAUAAAUAAUGCUCAGUUUGGAAUUGCUUUCACACUCAAGCGCUCAUAUUUGAUUAAACCGCAGCCUCCUGAUAACAAGCGUACCAUGUGCAUCAUCCUUCAAAAUGUUACCUCUCUUCCCAGAUGAAGUAAUUGAUUCCACGGCUGUACGUAUGCCACAGAAUGCCUGACAUCUAGGCAUUUAGAAGCAUAUUGAUGUCCCACUUUACAUCCACAGAUUUUCGAUGGAAACAGUAAAGCUUUUUACAGUAUGUGGAAAUAAUUUGUUUGGGGGGGAAUUCAUAUUUUGUUACCAGCCACCAGCAGUCCUGAUCAAUGCUGCCUCUUAGUAAUCUCACCCUCAAACCUGAUGCAAGUGAGACGUUCUUAUUCCAAAAAUAUGGUGUGAAAAUAAUACAGCUUUGAAUAU